rfam:Haemonchus contortus, ISE/inbred ISE, WGS project CAVP01000000 data, contig: Hcontortus_33901
GGCCCAAAUCUGGAGUAGAGUAAGUGAGCAGGAUCAGCUGACCUUACUAAUCUACUCUACUUCAAGUUUGUGCCC